rnacentral:lncRNA from 10 species
UGCCACAGACAGAAGAAUGAAACUGGAUGCCUAUUUCUCACAAUACACAAAAGCGAUUCAAGAUUAAAGACUUAACUGUAAGACUUGAAACUGUAAAAAUACUAGAAGAAAAUCUAGGGAAAACUGUUCUGGACAUUGGCCUAGAAAAAGAAUUUCUGACUAAGACUUCAAAAGCACAGUAAACAAAAAUAGACAAACGGGACUUAAUGAAACUAAAACUCUUCUGCAGAGCAAAGAAAAUAAGAAACAGAGUGAACAGACAACCUGCAAAAUGGGAGAUAGACAAUGGAGACUAAGAAGAGCAAAGGAAUGACAGAGAGGUGGAGGAUGAGAAAUUACUUAAUGGAUACCUUGACUAUGAAUAAUAGUUUCAAUAAGGAAGACAGAAUGAGUUCUGACACGAUGGUUGGGAGCUGUGACAGGCAGACGAAAAAUGGAGCCAAAUGGCAUGGAGGUGUCAUGAUGUUGGAACAGUAACAAUAACUCAACCAACCAGGGCUUGUCUG